AUACAGGAGAACAAACAUGCAGUAGGACAAUAAAUGCGGGAAGGGAACGCUGUACCACACGGUGCCAGGAGGUUGUAUGUGUGUAGCGAACCGUGGCGGAGCUCAUGGGUGCGGGAGCGUAUGAUAGGAAGAUGUCUCCGGGUUUCCCUUGCUGACGGGGACAAUAUGUGUGCAAGAUAUCAUUUCCAUGGCACGUGGCUGACACACCUGAACCGGACUUCUGAAGAACUUGACACAUUUGGAGAAUGUGUGGGAGACUCAUGGUUUCGUUUGAUCUACAGACAUAUCAUCUUACUAGAAAUUUUAGUCACAUUUGCUUACAUUUUAUUCUUUUGAAGGGAUAUUGGACACAACUAAAUAUGAGGAAAUAAUAUUAGCAAGUAAGAGUACCCAUGUACCUCUUAGUGUAGUAAAAGGGAACUCAGAUAAUCUGUUCCCAAACAGUGUUAGCUUCUGGUCCCCCUAUAAAUCUAAACAUAGGCUUUAGAGGGUCAGAAAUGAAACUGCUUGAAUAAAGAAAAAAAUGUAUUACUGGAACAUCCUUGCAGCAAGAUUGUUUUACAAUCUCUGGUAAACUCUUAAAUAAACUAGCCAAUUUCAUAGCAAAGAUCAGAAAAUCCAACUUCUAAAUGAGAAGGCAAAAAACUCCUCAGAGCACACAGUAAUGUUUGAUUACUUCAGGAAAAAUAAAACCAUGGCUUUAGAAAUUAAAUUGUAACUUCUGGUUAAAGAAUACAUGACACGAAGGUUACAAAAAGAGAACAUAUUCUUCCGGCUGAUAUUCAGGACUAAAUGGGAAAACUGGAAACGUUUCUAUAGCUGUGUUACCAAGGCUAACCUGAACUAAACAAACAUUGACCUACUUUUGCCACCCACAGACAUCUACAGAUGGAUUUUAUUUUCAUAAUAAUAAAUAAAACAUUGAGCUGGAUUUGUUCUUUAAGUUUUCGUACUUUGAAAUUCUGAGCUUUAAGACGUCAAGUGAUGAAUGUGAAAAACUGAAUCAAAUGAUCAGAAUUUUCCUUGCCUUUGCUUAUUACACCUAAUUAGGAGCAAUUAGGUGUAAUUGCUCCUAAUUACACCUAAUUAGGAGCAACUACAGAAACCAAAAGAUGAAUAAGUAGGAAUAAAAAGUCAAUUUUAAUAUUCACAAAGUGUUUUUUUAACCAACAUUUCUCUCUCCCUUUUCUCCUAGAUUUAUGACGGUUGUGAGCUGACUGGGCUGCACGGGAUUCACUUCAUCACCACCUGUUCUCUGCUGGCCUCCUGCCUCUCUCACACUGGUGAUUCUUACCAACUCACUGUGUGAGAUUUAUGACGGUUGUGAGCUGACUGGGCUGCAUGGGAUUCACUUCAUCACCACCUGUUCUCUGCUGGGUUCCUGCCUCUCUCACACUGGUGAUUCUUACCAACUCGAAUCACUGUGUGGGAAUCUUUGCCUGUGCAGCCGACGACACGCGGAGAAGCAUAAGUUGGAUAAGAAUCAAGCAAAACUACAACGGUACAAAAUGGCAAGUGGAGCAAAAUGAUCUUUACUCAUUGCUUGUUGCUUUAGUUUUCAGGAAACAAAUGGAAAAUUUCCAAAUUUAAUGACCUCAAGAUCUAUCACCAACAAGAAAAACAACUAUACCCGGAGGGACAUUUUAACACCAAAAGGGCAAUAGCCAUUGUUGUCAAAACGACAGUGAUUUACUAGCGCUGAUCAAUACUAUCAAUACUACAAAACACUCCUUUUUCUCCAGCCAAUCAGAUUCCCAAUCAAGCCAGUGCUUAUGUAGCUGCGCACCAACACGGUAGCCCAGAGUUUGAGGGCGUGAUGUGGCCCAGAGCGCAGAGUGAUCUUUGUUCCGUCUCUCUCGGAGACCCCACGCCCCACCACAUGAUGAAUGUCUCUGAUACAACUGACCACAGUUGUAAUGCACUCGGCGAAGACGGUUUUAAUAAAACAAACCUUUCAAAAAGGAGCAAAGUAGAGUGAAGGGAAGGGGAGGGUGCGCAACAACUAAAAACCAAGGUGAUUGUAGAAUUUCCACACCAUCACUCAACAUCUGAAUACUAUAUACUAGAAAAAUAGGUUCUCUUAUGUUUUUAUGCUUAAUUUGCCAGAGAAACGCAGACAUUAACAUAAAUCUUUUGGAAAACUGAGUAAUUAUCGACUUAAUUGUAUGAACUAUAAGCCAAGCCAAUUUAGAAUGUACUUCAUUGUGUUAUAGUUUCUGAGAGUCUGCUGUGAAUUAGGCUUUUAAUAACAGAUCUAUUUUAGAUGCAUUUUAUCAGCUGUGAUGUCUGUUGGACAUCAUAACGUAAGGCUUCACCAGAUGCUCCACAUUUCAAAGUGUCACCACAAAACAGAUCAAUUA